GACGAACGCUGGCGGCGUGCUUAACACAUGCAAGUCGAACGGAAAGGCCCUGCUUUUGUGGGGUGCUCGAGUGGCGAACGGGUGAGUAACACGUGAGUAACCUGCCCUUGACUUUGGGAUAACUUCAGGAAACUGGGGCUAAUACCGGAUAGGAGCUCCUGCUGCAUGGUGGGGGUUGGAAAGUUUCGGCGGUUGGGGAUGGACUCGCGGCUUAUCAGCUUGUUGGUGGGGUAGUGGCUUACCAAGGCUUUGACGGGUAGCCGGCCUGAGAGGGUGACCGGGCACAUUGGGACUUGGAUACCGCCCAGACUUCUACCGGGGGCAGCAGGUGGGAAAAAUUCACAAUGGGUGGGAGGCUGGUGCAACAACGCCGUGGGGGGGAAUACCGGCUUCGGGUUGUAAACCGCUUUCGCUCAGGACGAAGCUGUGUGUGACGGUAGUGGGUAAAGAAGCACCGGCUAACUACGUG
rnacentral:rRNA from 1 species